GCUAAUACCGGAUGUGGUUGUUGGGGGGCAUCUCUUGGCAACUGAAGUUGGGGACCGCAAGGCCUGACGCUUCGCGAUGAGCCCGCGGCCUAUCAGCUAGUUGGUGAGGUAACGGCUCACCAAGGCUAAGACGGGUAGCUGGUCUGAGAGGACGACCAGCCUCACUGGAACUGAGACACGGUCCAGACACCUACGGGUGGCAGCAGUCGAGAAUUUUUCACAAUGGGCGAAAGCCUGAUGGAGCGACGCCGCGUGGGGGAUGAAUGGCUUCGGCCCGUAAACCCCUGUCAUUUGCGAACAAACCCUGCGAUUUAAAAGAUGGCGGGCUGAUUGUAGCGAAAGAGGAAGGGACGGCUAACUCUGUGCCAGCAGCCGCGGUAAUACAGAGGUCCCAAGCGUUGUUCGGAUUCACUGGGCGUAAAGGGCGCGUAGGUGGCCGGGUAAGUUCGAUGUGAAAGCUCUGAGCUUAACUCAGAAAUGGCAUUGAAU
rnacentral:rRNA from 1 species